UACGUAGGGUGCUAACGUUGUUCGGAAUCACUGGGCAUAAAGAGCGCGUAGGCGGUCUGAUAAGUCAGGUGUGAAAUCCCCCGGCUCAACCGGGGAACUGCACCUGAUACUGUUGGGCUUGAGUGCAGGAGGGGAGAGCGGAAUUCCUGGUGGAGCGAUGAAAUGCGUAGAUAUCGGGAGGAACACCAGUGGCGAAGGCGGGUCUCUGGGCCGAUACUGACGCUGAGGAGCGAAAGCGUGGGGAGCGAACAGG
rnacentral:rRNA from 1 species